UACGUAGGUGGCAAGCGUUGUCCGGAUUUAUUGGGCGCAAAGCGCGCGCAGGCGGUCCUUUAAGUCUGAUGUGAAAGCCCACGGCUCAACCGUGGAGGGUCAUUGGAAACUGGGGGACUUGAGUACAGAAGAGAAGAGUGGAAUUCCACGUGUAGCGGUGAAAUGCGUAGAGAUGUGGAGGAACACCAGUGGCGAAGGCGACUCUUUGGUCUGUAACUGACGCUGAGGCGCGAAAGCGUGGGGAGCAAACAGG
rnacentral:rRNA from 1 species